GUUGAUGUUUGGAAAUUCAUAUGCAUUUUUUCCCCCGAUCUAGCUUAUUUCUGGAAUUUUUGCUUUUGUUUUGUGUUCUUUCUCUUCAUUUGUGGUCUCUUGCUCUUUCUAGUCCAUACAAUGGGAUAAAUGGAAAGCUCUUGUCAUUCAUGGCGAUGUACUUCGUCUGGGGUUUCGAGUGCGGUGUCAGUGUCUCCAGACAAGCAGCGGCUAAUAUAAUCGAGAUGGGUCAUAAGUAAAAGUUAAAGAUCUAGAGACCUAGAUCUUAUUCUCAAAUCUGCUAUCUCUUCGAUCAGAUCUGCAAAUAUCAGAGACAGAUUGAUAUAUUUGAUUAAGAUUUUGAGGAUGGUGAAGAUGACAAUAGUUGGAAGGGUGAGUGAUGGGUUGCCAAUAGCACAAAGUCCAAGGUAUGUGAAUGAAGAGGAUGAAAAUUUCUCAAGUUACAAGCAACAAGCAGAGUUCAUACGCAAAGAAAUCUCAAGAACAGGGUCUUCAUUGGCUCCUUCUAAGAUGACCAUUCGACUCGAUCUCCACCAACAUUGCUUCAAGUUGUUAGGCUUCUGC